UCCCAGGUGGCUCAGCAGUAAAGAAUCUGCCUGUGAUGCAGAAGACCCAGGUUUAAUCCCUGGGUUGGGAA
rnacentral:tRNA from 1 species